CUGGUGUGGACAACGAAGUGUAUAACAUUCAACUAGCAACAUACCACAAUAAUGACUAUUUAAAAAACGCUUUUCUUUGGACUUAUAUUAAAUAACUCAAUAAUUUGACUCGUCUUCAAUAAAGUUUACAGGUUCAUUUUCCUCGCAAUUCACGUCGAAAACUACUCUGCAAAGGAUAUUCAGGAAUAUUGUCAUUUUUAAGCCAUUUAGUUCAAAGACUUAAUAAAUGGAAGUUUACUACAAAUUGUACAAUAAUUCACGCAUUGAAGUUAUGAAAAAGCUUAGGGAAUGAAGAAGAACGACUAGGCUCCUUUUACUGAAACGUAAAGUUUACAAGGAAUUAAUACAAAAACUUUUUUCUGAUAUUGCUCACUAAUUUGACGAGGGUUCAAUACUCUUGCGCUAAGGGUACGAUCUUCGUACUGAGACAUAUCCUUUGAAGUUUUGUAAUCUUCUAGUCUGUGAGUAGGCUAGUCCAAUUUCUCUCCGGCCUUGCAUUCAUGAAGCUCCUGCUUGUUUGAAAGAUACUAAAAAGAGGUUUCCUUAUAAUGAACCAAAAUACGUUCUUUGCAUAAUGUCCUCAUUCAAUUAAUAUUGACUUUGAUAGCUCCUUCGAUAUCAAGUUUUCCAUUGCUUAAAGUUCUCAAUAAGUAGUGUCUGUGAUUCAUCUCUCAACUGACUUCGAAUGAGUCAACUCAUAACUUUCAGAGUGAUGCAAAUAAUUUAAGUUAAAAAUGUUUCACUCUCGUUUGUCCCAAAGUUUUUUUAUCCAGAUAGCUGUUGUUCCACAGAAACAUCUAAAUCACGUGGAUAGUAAUUGCAAGAAAGAGGCUAACACUUAUGAACAACUAGAAUUACUUGUUGAGGUCAUGAAUUGGUAAUCAAUUUAUUUGAUCCAAUCUCCCAAUUACAAAUUGGUAAAACAAUAUUGUGUUUUCAUUUUUUGGUGAAACAGUUGGCAUCUUAGAUCGGUACACAUAUUAAGCCUUUCAUCAUAGCCUUUAGUUCCCUUCUUAUUCCAUAUUAAAUUAAUGAUCUUGAUUUAUUAGUCAACCUUGUUGCCUGGGUCGUAAUGGAAAUCGCAUCUCCUUUUAAUCCCUAUGUGAAGUAAAAUCAUUUCAGCAGUUAUUAUUUUGAAUUUUAAUCGGCUUAAAAAACUUCUCUAACGCUUGUUAAAUGGGCAAUUCAGGCAUUCAUUACAGCUUCAACAAAUGUUUAUACUGGUAUUAUAGCGUAUUUAUUAACUAUAUAAUGAAACGAAAUAUUUACUUGUUAUCGCAUUUAAGUGAAUAGUUAUCUCCAUCGUUCUGCUGCCUUAAUUUAAUUCACCACCAAAACCUCAGUAUGAUACUUCACUGUCAACAAGAACCAGCAAGUUUAGU